CUUAACUAGUCAAAAGAGGCACUAACAACUAUUAGUUGACUGUUCUUCGGUUCAGCCUAGGAUUCAUUCAGUGGCUUUUCGUAACUUGUAGUUUGUGUCCAUUACAUGAGUUUGAUGUACUUUGUGUUAUCUUCAAGUCCCAUAGAAAGCGCCCUAGAACUCCCACCCCAGGACAAUAUAUUGGCUUGAAACGCUCCAAAGACGAUGAAAAAGACGGAGAUGGCCAUAGCAGUCGAGGGAAGCACGACGAUCCUGAUGAUUCUGGACACCGUUGGUUACCAAGACGCCACAAUUCACCUCGUGAUGAAAGGAAGUCACCAAGACGCGACCAUUCACCUGGUGGUGGAAGAAGCCCAGAGAAAAGGUAUCAUCAAUCCAGUGGCUUGAAAUGACCUGUGUUUAGGUGUCUUGACAAAGGAAUUCAAGAACUUAUUUGUUGAUUUGAGGUUGUGAUUGAUCAUCAUCAUCAUCAUUAAAAUAGUAGAGAGAUUCUGUUGGAGACAGUCAUGGUUUUGCACAACACAAUGAAGUGGAAAUUACACUCUUGAGAUGGUUUGAUAUCUGCAUCAGGGGCUCACGAUCUCCUGCUCCCAGAAAAGAACAACAGAGGUAAGGCCAGCUGCCGAUUUGUCAAGCCGAUAAAGAGGGGUAUCGAUCUCCGUACACAUUCUUCACACGUUCGGACCCGCUUAGCCAUUGGGGAUGUUGGUAAAUUCCCCAGUAGACAUUCUUCACACAUUCGGGCCCGCUUAGCCAUUGGGGAUGUUGGUAAAUUUCCCAGCUCACUUGAUUCUUUGUUAGCCAUACCUUUCCAAACCUACACAAGCCCUUUGAAAUCUCUCAGAAGAUCUCGGAUCUAAUCGUGUGCAGUACGAGACAACCGAUAACGUUGGUGGUGGCUGACUUGCGGUAUCUUAUCUCUUAUAUAUCAGUUGGGCUAAGCUGGGUCGAAUUUUACUUAAAAUUGGGCAUUGGUCACCAUUAUCUUGUCAUGUCUAUUGGGCCUUCUCAUCAAAUUAAAUACCUAAUGAUUCUUACGGGUUU